UUAGCCUAGUGGUUAAUGGGUCUUUAAUGUUUCUACACCAAGAAAUCUGGGUUUCGAGUCUCAGAAGGUGCGAUUUAUUAUUAAUUUGCAGAUUAAUGGAGACAAGAUUACAUAAUAGUUCUCAUAAUUUGUAAUAGAAUAAUAGAUCAAUGUUAAAAAAAAAAAAACGAGCAGGAUCUGGGAAGGCUUGGUCAAAACAGUCUUGGGAAACAGAUGGUCGACGAACUGGCGUCAAAUAUUGGACACUCUGCAAGCUCUGAGGCGUAAUUGCUCGGAAACGCUUAUCCUUCGAUAUGCUCUGCAAAUGGCUGUACACACAAUUUGGAGAGAGCGAAACAACAGGCGACAUGGUGAAGAGCAUCGGUCUUACCAGCAGUUGCUCAGGGAAAUGGAUGUCAACAUGCGAAAUCGACUAAGCACAGCGAGAUUAAAGGGCUCUAGAUAUGAUGAUGGGUUACAGCGGUGGUUCGCCACCCGGGUGGCCUAAAAAAUUUCUAUUGAUGUUCUUGCUUUUAAUUUCUGAAGCUUUAAACCUUUAAAGUUUGUUGUAAG
rnacentral:lncRNA from 1 species